rnacentral:rRNA from 1 species
AGUGAACGCUGGCGGCAGGCCUAACACAUGCAAGUCGAACGGCAGCACAGAGGAGCUUGCUCCUUGGGUGGCGAGUGGCGGACGGGUGAGGAAUACAUCGGAAUCUGCCCAAUCGUGGGGGAUAACGUAGGGAAACUUACGCUAAUACCGCAUACGACCCCAUAUCGAAGGGUGUGGGGUGAAAGCGUGGGACCGCAAGGCCACGCGCGAUUGGAUGAGCCGAUGCGGAUUAGCUUGUUGGCGGGUAAAGGCCCACCAAGGCGACGAUCCGUAGCUGGUCUGAGAGGAUGAUCAGCCACACUGGAACUGAGACACGGUCCAGACUCCUACGGGAGGCAGCAGUGGGGAAUAUUGGACAAUGGGCGCAAGCCUGAUCCAGCCAUGCCGCGUGUGUGAAGAAGGCC